CUGUUAUUAAGGAUGGGGAAGAAAAAGAAAAACACUUGGACGAUGCAAAACACUGGCUUAAAUGUUGUGACCACAACCAGCUUGAACCACUGACUGGGAGCUUCAUUCUACUCUCAUGGAGGUGGCAGGAUGCAGCUGGUGAUGUCAGAGGCGAUCUUGGCAUGCGGCG